rnacentral:pre_miRNA from 1 species
UUUGGUACAAAUUUGAAUUCUUAAAUCUCUUAUAUUAUGAUAUGAAUGUAGUGAAUUUGUUCCAUG